GCUAGGCAUGGUGGCGCAUGCCUGUAAUCCCAGCACCUUGGGAGGCUGAAAUAGGAGAGCUCAAAGCCAGCCUCAGCAAAAGCCAGGUGCUAGCAACUCAGUGAGACCCUGUCUCUA
rnacentral:sRNA from 1 species